UACGUAGGGCGCAAGCGUUAUCCGGAAUUAUUGGGCGUAAAGAGCUCGUAGGCGGCUUGUCACGUCGGGUGUGAAAGACCGGGGCUUAACUCCGGUUCUGCAUUCGAUACGGGCUAGCUAGAGUGUGGUAGGGGAGAUCGGAAUUCCUGGUGUAGCGGUGAAAUGCGCAGAUAUCAGGAGGAACACCGGUGGCGAAGGCGGAUCUCUGGGCCAUUACUGACGCUGAGGAGCGAAAGCGUGGGGAGCGAACAGG
rnacentral:rRNA from 1 species